CAGAGGGUGCGAGCGUUGUCCGGAAUCACUGGGCGUAAAGGGCGCGUAGGUGGCGACCCAAGUCCGUGGUGAAAGCUCGCCGCUCAACGGCGAGUCGGCCACGGAGACUGGGUGGCUCGAGCACUGUAGGGGCAGAUGGAAUUCCGGGUGUAGCGGUGGAAUGCGUAGAGAUCCGGAAGAACACCAGUGGCGAAGGCGGUCUGCUGGGCAGUUGCUGACACUGAGGCGCGACAGCGUGGGGAGCAAACAGGAUUAGAUACCCUGGUAGUCCACGCCGUAAACGAUGGGCACUAGAUGCUUGGGGGAGCGACCCCCUGAGUGUCGUCGCUAACGCAGUAAGUGCCCCGCCUGGGGAGUACGGCCGCAAGGCUG
rnacentral:rRNA from 1 species